UACGGAGGGUGCAAGCGUUGUUCGGAAUUAUUGGGCGUAAAGCGCGUGUAGGCGGCUAUCUAAGUCUGGUGUGAAAGCCCUGGGCUCAACCCGGGAAGUGCACUGGAUACUGGAUAGCUAGAGGGCGAGAGAGGAGAGUGGAAUUCCUGGUGUAGGGGUGAAAUCCGUAGAUAUCAGGAGGAACAUCAGUGGCGAAGGCGGCUCUCUGGCUCGUUUCUGACGCUGAGACGCGAAAGCGUGGGGAGCAAACAGG
rnacentral:rRNA from 1 species